UUUUAAUUCCAGUGUGUUUUUCAUUUAAUUUAAUUUCAUUAUUUAUUUGCUGUUACAUGUUAUUGCUUUAUUAUGCUCUUCUUUAUUUUCUUAUAAUCUGUUCACUUUUCUUUUUAUAUAAAGUUCUUUGGUACCAUGAUGGGGUUGGAAAACACUGCAGAAAUAAAGUUUCAUUAAUUCAUUCUAUAUCUUUUCUGAUUUUUAAUCAAAGGAAGAUAAGUUUGUCAUUCAUUAAAAAAACAACAACCACAAACAUAUAAGUUAGAUCCCUUUAGUUCUCAACAUCACCAUCAGUUAAAUAAAUUUACCAUUUUGUAGCCAAAUAAAACAAUCUAAAAAAAUGUGAAAUAUUAUCUUCCCAUAAAAUAUAUAAGUUAAUAUGUCUUUAAAGAUGUCUGAGACUCAAAAGUCACACAUCUAAAACACACAAAGGAUAAAAUACUAGGAUUUAUCCAGCAUUAAGCAUGUGUUUGAAUGGCUUUUUUACUAAUAGUUUCCCUCAUUUUACAGGUUUAUAGUGUUUUUGGGAGUUCCAUUAUACUCCCUACAUUUCCUAUUUUUGUAACAUAUUUCACACUCGGGGGUUGGAGGGAGAGUCAAUACAGACGACGGUAAAAGCAAACAUCAUAGUGGGCCGUGGAAUGUAAAAAUGUGAGCUAAAAAAAAGAACCAUAAUGAGAAGGUUUCAUGGUUGUUCCCUGGCAGCCGAAUUUACUGACCCAUUUGAUUUUAUGACUCCUUUUUUUCAUUAUUCUGUAACCACUGGGGUCUUGUUCUCCCUUUAAUGUGCAGCAGUUUCGUCUAACAACUUUUGGGGGAAAUAAAUUGAGUAAACAUUUCAAAGAACCUUAGUUCAGAGAGCAGCCGCAGUGCUGUGAGGCCUGACUCCGAAACGGAGAUGGAUAUUUAUUUAAGCGAAAACUCAACUAAAAUGAAAUAGAGAAGAGGUGAAACGAGGUCAUAUGUUCCAGGAAAAUCACUUAAAAAUCAAGAAGAAAAUCAAAGGAGCUGCUUUAUUUGAUUUUCUUUGCUUAAAAAUAAAAAUGUUGUAGAUUUAAGAUUCAAGAUGCAAGAUUCAAAGCUUUAAUUGGGGGAAGUGAUGUCCACAAUGAAUUCAAGAAAAAAAGGGUAUUAUUUUUUCUUUGUGCUUUACAAACCAAAAUUUAUUUUAAAUGUGUAUAUUUUUUAAAUAUUCUGAUUUGGUUGACAGAAUCUUAAAAGACAUUUCUCCUUUGUUUCACUGUAAACUUUUUAUCUCAAUAAACUGAAAGGAUUUACUAUCUCUCUUUAGCCAGCAGAGGGCAGCAUUGCACCUAACUCCAAAUUACAGAUUAGCAUGAGAACAAGAUUUCUCCUCCUUUGUUUUGUUCUUUACUCUUCUGCUUUGUGCAACAAUUAAGAACACACCAGUUAAUUAGCAUCACAAGUGAAAGAAGGUUCUUGUCCUGUUAAAGAGGAUUAGUCUUUGGAUUUUGGAGUCCUGGUUGUACAUUGUUUUCCCUGUAAUGUGAAGACCUUUAAUCCAGAUUCUAGAGGUUUAGUCUGAGGAUCUCGGCAGGGAGAGGAUUUUGAUUUUGGAGGGGAGUGGAUUAAGAAUAUAUCAUGCUAAUCACCAAAGAACAACUUGCGCACAACCUCCACUCCCCUGACAGAAAAGAGUUCAGUCAAAUUUGACAUCCUCUAAGUGUGGAAGCACAGGCGCUACUUUGAAAACGCUAGAAGAGCUAGAAGACUCAACAAAGACGGAGAGCGAGAAUGAGAAGACAUGAAGGAGGUAGAGGAGGAGGCCCGGGUAGACUAAAGAUGAAGGCCUAUCUAGAGGAAAUGAAAAGGGCUUGAUAGAACUCAAGAAAAGAAGACCAAAUUUGGCUCAAGAAAUCUAUCCAAGACGUAUUGACCUUGUAAUCAAUCAUAAACUGACACUGAUGGAAGCUGGACAAAUAGUUCAACCGUAUCUCAGUGUGAACACUUUUGCAUCAGUCAUUUUUUAUUGAGAAAACAGAUAAACUGACCCCUGAAAAUAAAUCUUGCUGCAUCUAGUAUCAUACUAUGAAAUUUGACAGCAUAUGUAUUUCUUAUACUGCCUUAUCAAUGAAGUUUGUAAUGUGAAUGGAGCCUGAUAGUCUGAUCCAGCCAGAUGGAUAUUUGUUGUUUUUACAAUUUUUUUUUCAAAGUGUAACGUCUCCAUGGAUUCAUUUUUUUUAUUUGUCUACAUAUGUUAGUGUUUCAUUGACUUAACUGUUGACUUACUGUAACUGAUUUUCUCAAGAAAUAUCUCAAGUAUUGACAUGAAAGCAUGAACUGUUCAGUUUGCAGCAUCAGUGUUGUGCAGUGAUUGGUUGAUCUGGCGGUUUGGGGCUUUCCUCCAUCCACAAAACUGCUCAGGAAAAUCACUCCUCAGUGAAAGGGAUCCAUUGAGCCGAGCUGAAGCGCUAGAGUACCUCCCCAAAAAAACACUUUGUUUGUUUAUAAGCUGACAAUCACUGUCGGACUACCUGAAACACUAACAUUAUGAACAUUUCAGCUGAACUUCAAUCAAGACACGAGUGGAAAACAUGGUGACUGCAGGAUUUCUACAGGAUCUUUGUUUUAAACGUAAAGAUUUAUACAUCAAUAAUGAGAGAAAAGAAAUAGAAUUUUAGUAAAAUGGUUCAAUUGGAUUUAACGUCAUACAAGGGUUCACAGAAUGGUUGUCCUUCACACAUUUUCACCUCAAAAAAUCUGACCCCCUUUGGAAGACGUUUGGACACCCCCGCUCCAGAGGACCCACCUUGGCUUCAGGAGAUUAGCAUUUUCUUUAAAGUGGUGUUUCAAACAGCAAAUGACCUGUAACAUCUGUCAGCAAAAGCACUCAACAGGAGGCAAUUAGAGGAGUGACCUGCACCUUUGUUUAUUUUCUCCCUUUAUAGGAUGACUGAGUGACUUACACGGGGUGUUGUUUUUACAGGUUUUGUAGUACACAGAGCAGAAAGAAAAUGUCCUUUGAAAUAACAUUCUGCUUUAGCCCUAAUGUAAGCAGUUGGACUCGCUACAGCCAUAACUUCAGAAAAAGAAAAAAAAAAAGCCCGGUCAGCCUUUCCCCUCUACAAUCAGGCAGUGAAAGGCACCACUGUUCAGUUUUGCAUUUACAAGUAAGAGAGUGUGAAGGAUUUCAUUUGUUUAAAAGACAAAAAAUGGCUGUCACUAUUCAACAAAGUGUCAGAAAUAAAUGACUCCACAGUCAUCUGUGUAAAAAAAUUAAAAUAAAUGAAAAAUAUAAAGUG